ensembl:snRNA U6 U6 spliceosomal RNA
GUGCUUGCUUUGGCAACACAUAUACUGAGAUUGGAACGAUACAGAGAAGAUUAGCAUGGCCCCUGUGCAAGAGUGCCAUGCAAAUUCAUGAAAACAUAGGGGCCAUUUUAU